AGCGUGUAUAAUCAAGUCUUCAAACCUCGUCGAAGUAAACGAUGAGUAAUUACUAACAGAAGGUCGUCUUUGUUCGUGUUUAUUCAAAGAAACAGAAGGACAUGGGAGAGAAGGAUUUAUAGAAAAGCCCAGGGAGAGUGAUGGUGUCGGAUAGAGAUGAUCAUCAAUUGUAAAAUGACAUAGCAAAGGGAAGGCACAAUGAUCAUUUAGUGGAAAGUAUCAAGUACCAGUAGUGAAGAUGAAAAAGAAGACAACAACCAAGACAUGACAACAGACUUACUACACGACCAAAACUACUAAUCUGAUGCACUGAAGUAAGGGAGUAUGACAAUGAUAUACAACGGUAUGAAAUAGGUAAACAGCAAUUGUAUUUUUAUUGUUUUGUGAUGUAGAUGUUUAGUAAUGGUUUGUAAUAGAUGGUUUAGUAGUAAGAUAAAACGUCUGUGUUUAAUGUAAUUCAUAGAACGAUAUGUUAGGAAGUGGUAGGAUGUGGUUUAAUUUAAUGGUACGAUAAGUAAGGAAACAUGUUUCUCGGUUUAAUAAUAAACGUAUUUCUCGGUUUA